UCCAGGCCUGUUUCAAGGGUACAAUGAACAAGAGAGGAACGCAUCAGCUGGACCUUUCUGCAAAAUUCACUCAGCAGACAUGUUUUCAGAGCACCUGUUCUGUGUCAGGCCUGAGCUUUGCCCUGGGGAUAUAGGAAGAAAGAAGUUGGAGACAGGCAGUUACAGCGCCACGUGAUGGCAGCCUAUGGAGGCCCCGUGGUGAGGCCUGGCAACUCCAUGAGGGAGUUGGACGGAAUCUUGUACAGCCUGCCAGCGGCCAUGUGAGUGAGUUUGGAAGUGGAUCACGUAGAUCAAGAGGAGCCUUGAGGUGACUGCCGCCUCGGCCGAUGGCCUGAUUGCAACCCCUGAGACACUGAGUCGGAGGCACCCAACUGAACCACACCUGGACACCCAACCGCAGAAACUGUGAGAUAAUAAAUCUAUGUUGUUUUAAGCCCCUUGGUAUUGGGGACACUUGCUAUGCAGCAACAGGUCACUAACACUCGAGUCCUGCCCCCAGCCAGGGCCCUUUAAAGGCCAGCUCUGAUCCCAUAGCUCCACACACAGCCAGUCGUUGAUCUGCCGUCUCAGCAGGCCACUGUCAUCAGCUGCUCUUGACAAAGACCUCUCAGGCACGGUUGGAAAGAACUGGCUCCACGAGACAGAGCUGCCCUGUCCUGGGGAAGACGUGCA